rnacentral:piRNA from 1 species
CUUUCCUACAUGCUCCCACUCAUCA